rnacentral:rRNA from 1 species
GUGGGGAAUAUUGGACAAUGGGCGAAAGCCUGAUCCAGCCAUGCCGCGUGCAGGAUGAAGGCCUUCGGGUUGUAAACUGCUUUUGUACGGAACGAAACGGUCCGGGUUAAUACCCUGGGCUAAUGACGGUACCGUAAGAAUAAGCACCGGCUAACUUCGUGCCAGCAGCCGCGGUAAUACGAAGGGGGCUAGCGUUGCUCGGAAUUACUGGGCGUAAAGGGCGCGUAGGCGGACAGUUUAGUCAGAGGUGAAAGCCCAGGGCUCAAACUGGGAACUGCCUCCAAAACUGCAUGACUAGAGUACGGUAGAGGGUAGUGGAAUUUCCUGUGUAGCGGUGAAAUGCGUAGAUAUAGGAAGGAACACCAGUGGCGAAGGCGACUACCUGGACUGAUACUGACACUGAGGUGCGAAAGCGUGGGGAGCAAACAGGAUUAGAAACCCCUGUAGUCC